UGCAUUUCAGGAAAAUACACACAUUAGUUGGAGCAUUUGAUGCUGGAGACUGUGCGGAUGGACGGAUGUCACAGCACCAUGGUGAAAAAUGGAGGGAAUAAUAAUCGUUCAGUAAUAUCAAACUUAAAUGCCCCACCAUUUUUACUAGUGGAGAUUUGUCGAUAACAUUAGGUCCGCGCGUACUGAAAGGAACCGGCUUACUAUGGGAAGCUAAAAUAUUUAUCAACGCUUUGGGAUAUUUUGGAAGUUUAUACCUGGAUAGAUAAGGAUGUUGGCUAUUGUCAAGAUAAUGGUAUGUCACUGCAAGCCACCUCAAGAUGGCCAAGUUGGUGUGUUGCUGAUCUAUGCUC